rnacentral:ncRNA from 1 species
GUUAGUCUUCGCGCCUCAGGUGCCUGCUCUGGCAGGGUAAACGGGAAGCUUGGUGUGAUUCCAGCGCUGCCCCCGCAACGGUAAGUGAUGACAGCAACGGCCAAGACCACUGUGCAAGCGCAUGGGAAGGGGCCUGAGCGGAGCCAUACUCGCAUCACCAGCCCGGAUACCGGCCUGUUCCAUCAAACCAGC